rnacentral:rRNA from 1 species
CAAUAGCGUAUAUUAAAGUUGUUGCAGUUAAAAAGCUCGUAGUUGGAUUUCGGGGCAGCCUGGCUGGUCCGCCGCAAGGCGAGUACGGGUCAGCCGCCCUUCCUCUCGAAAGCCCCGACUGCUCUUCGUUGCAGUGGUCGGGUAGUUCGGGACGUUUACUUUGAAAAAAUUAGAGUGUUCAAGGCAGGCCUACGCCUGAAUACAUUAGCAUGGAAUAAUGGAAGAGGACCUCGGUCCUAUUUUGUUGGUUUCCAGGGCCGAAGUAAUGAUUAAGAGGGACAGUUGGGGGCAUUCGUAUUUAAUUGUCAGAGGUGAAAUUCUCGGAUUUAUGAAAGACGAACAACUGCGAAAGCAUUUGCCAAGGAUGUUUUCAUUAA